CUACGGGAGGCAGCAGUGAGGAAUUUUGCGCAAUGGGGGAAACCCUGACGCAGCAACACCGCGUGAGUGAAGAAGGCUUUCGGGUCGUAAAGCUCUGUCAGAUAGGAAAAAAGUUCAUAUGUAAAUAGCUUAUGAAUCUGAUGGUACUAUCAGAGGAAGCACCGGCUAACUCCGUGCCAGCAGCCGCGGUAAUACGGAGGGUGCAAGCGUUGUUCGGAAUUACUGGGCGUAAAGGGCGUGUAGGCGGUAUGGUAAGUCAGAUGUGAAAGCCCUGGGCUUAACUCAGGAAGUGCAUUUGAUACUGCCAUCCUUGAGUAUGGGAGAGGAGAGUAGAAUUCCCAGUGUAGAGGUGAAAUUCGUAGAUAUUGGGAGGAAUACCCGUGGCGAAGGCGACUCUCUGGACCAAUACUGACGCUGAGACGCGAAAGCGUGGGGAGCAAACAGGAUUAGAUACCCCUGUAGUC
rnacentral:rRNA from 1 species